GCAGCUGGGGGGUGGAUUUGGGACCAAAGUCUGCACCCACAACCCUGAACCUCUGGAUCCUGUGCAAAGGCAAGGUGUGUGGAAUAAACACCUGCUGUGCACCCAGCUGGACUCUACAGCACCUACUGUGUAUUCACACUCCUGCAGGAACCCGUGUUCUUAAAGAUGAAUAAUGCUCCGCCCCCCGUGCCGGGUCUUCUGGGGAUGAGCCACAGCCUGGAGGAGCUGAGGAGGCCACAUCACAUGAGGAAGCUUUACUGUUUCCCCUUCUCCUGAAAUGUGUCUGGGAUGGAGAGUGUGGAGAGUGGGCCCACCUUUAUCUGGGUCCACUCAGGCUGCUGCAGAGACUACCCCAGACUGGGUGGCUGAUAGACAAGACAUUCAUUUUCCACACUUCCUGAGACUGGGAAGUCUGAGAUGAAGAAACCUAGAAGCAAGGAAGCUGCCACCAUGAUGCAGCGGGGAGUCCGAGGCCCUGGGAGGUCAUAUGACUCAUUCAAGGUCAUCCUGCUGUGGCAGAGAUGCGAUGAAGCCCUGGCUUUGACCCCAACCCCAGGUGCCAGAGUCUUCCCUGCCCUGUACAGCCCUGCUCAUGCCAUGGUCUCCUGUGGACGUUCCCUCCUUCCCACGUUGGCGGUAUUGCUGUCCAAGCUUUGCAGGGGAGGAAUCUGAGGAAUUGAGAAGUCAAGUAACACACCCAAUAGGAUAACUAGGCCUUCUUGGCAGCCAACCUCGAAGCACCACAUCGGGCUUUGAAAUGUGCGGGGCCUUUGAGAUUCAGCGCAUCUGAAUCUGAAUUUAUGCCGUCUCACUUGCUGGAAUCUACUGAUCUGUCCACUGUUCCUGGAAGAAAUACUUUGUUUUCAUGUGCCAGUUGCCUUUCCAGCCUGACUGUCAGCCCAAGGUCGCAGGAGAAGAUCUGAUUGCAUGUCCUUGAUUUUGCUGCUCCCAUUCCGAGAACCAGCUUCCUCCUCUGGAAGGUCGACUGAGGGGGGCUUGACUGGACUUGGCUCAAGGCUGCAAGUGGUCCAUGUCUGCUCUGUGUGUCUUUCAUCCUCCCCAACCAGUUAGAAAAUGUGAUAUCCUCUUCUACGAUGAUGAUGGAAAUACAAAAUUGAUGAAAAAUGGAGUGAAUGAGACAUUAAGCCAGUUGUGCACCAUUACCCAGCUCGCAGCCCCAUCUCCUGAGGCCAGUUGCCUAGUGGAUGCUGGAGGCAGCAUUUGGACUCAGGCAGUCGAAUCCCAGAGCCCGAAUCCUGCCGUUCUCACUGUCAUCCUGGAGCUCCAGAGCCUGUGGUCACUCAGCUGGCAACCUCACAGGCAGGCCAGCCCCUCCCCAAGCUCAUUUUCCUUAUGGCCUUGCACUGACCUCAACUUUCUUGGACAUCAAAUGGACCCACUGGGCCGCUCCAGGUGUUUCCUUGCCUCCUCUUCUGAAAAUUCGGGACCGCCAUACAGACACCUCCCGGCUCUUCUGUGUGGUCAGGCGUGGGAGAGAGCGUUUGGAAGAGAAUCGAAUUUCCUUUCUGCAUCUGUGUGCUGGUGCCCAGUGCACCCUGGGACGCUAACGAACAGUGACAGAUGAGCUUCAAUUGGCUGGCGCGUGUGAGGAACCACUGGACCAGGCAAAAGAAAGCAUCAUCGGAGCCCAGCAAGGGAGGAGGAGAGAGGCUUUGCUUCAUGAAAGCCUGAACAGCAUCCAACCGAAACCAGCCGCCGCCGCCGCGCCCUGACGUGGUACUCUGCAGUUUUCAGAGUGCAUCGCAUCCAUUAUCUCCCCUGACCCGCAGACAGGCCGGCGAAGAAGGCUGAUAUGAGGUCACCCAGCCCCGUGCGUGCAGCCCCUCAAAUGCCUCCUGCGUUCCACCCCUUCUUCUCCAUUGCAUGGCCACUGCCCUUUCAAUUUCUCCCGGGAUUGUUGCAAUAGCGUCUCACUGUCUCCUGCUCCCAGCCCGCACCCUCCUGUGCCCCCUUGCUGAGUAAUCUUUUUGCACCGAAAAUUUGUUCAGCCUACAGAUGGUGUCACAGCCUCCAGUGGCCCCACCAGCUAUAGACUAAAGUCCCAACUCCCAUGUGUUCGAGGACAGCUACCCCUCUCUACAAGCCCCUUUCCUUGCAGUUUCCCUUGGAGGUGAUGAUGAGCUUUCUGAAUACACCAACCUCUUCUGGGGCCAUACCUCUUCUCAUGCCAUGAGCCUAGGCUGGACCUCUGGUCUCUUCCGUCUUGCUGACCAACCCUUAGGCUUCUUUAAGACCCAGUUCAGCAUCACUGACUUCAGGGGUCCCCUGCCCACCUGGCUGCCCAUGUUCCCAUGGAGCUUGUACCCAAGGCUGUUGUAUUCCUUACCAGCUAAUUGUCCCCUUGGUCCUUCCUGCACCCAUUCCCUCUUGUACUGCACUGGGAACUUGUCAAGCUGAGAGAUAGUGCUCCUCACUGCCAGAUCCUCUCCACCCAGUGUGGUUCAGGCACCUAGUAGCUGCUCAGCUGGCAUUGAUGAAAUUGAGUUUAUAGGUGAGGGCACCGAGGCUCAGAGCAGUUAAGGCUGGGGAGACGCCCAGCUGGUAUCCUUCUCCUGUCACUACCCCUCCCUGCCUCCCUGUUGGCUCUGGGGUCUCAGCAUCAUCCACAACCCACAUACCACUGUUCAGUUACCAAAGAUACCCCUGACUUGUCUCUGCCCAACCCUUCCUUCCUCAUCUUUUCUCCAUCAGCUUCACAACCUUGGACCAGCAAGGCCAUUGCAAUACAAGCCGAGGUUGGGAAGAGUGAGGCUCAGAGACCACAGAGAUACUUUGACACAUGGAAAAAGGCAAGACUUCCUUCCCAGGAGAUUUAUCAUUCUUCAAAAAAAUGGGGUUCUCAAAGAUUCAAGGUAUUUGCUAUUCAUGCUAUUCAUGCAAACACGCUUGCACCUUGGUGUUUUAUGGUAAGGAUUCUGGGAACCAUAGGGAAGACCAGAAUCUCCAUUCCUGACACCCGUGUACUGGAAGCCACUCCCCUCGCCUCUCCCAAAUUAAAUCCACUUGGAGCCUCAGAAUGGGACAUUUCUUGGAAUAAGGAUCUCAGUAGACAUAAUUAGAGUAAGGGAGAGAUGACCUCAUCCUGGAGGAGGGUGGACCCUUAGUCCAAUGACAAGUGUCCUUAUGGGAGACAGUAAGGAGAAGACACAUAGACACAGGGGAGAAGGUCCUGUGAAGACAAAGGCAGAAGCUGCAAUGAUGGGUUUACAAGCCAAGGAAUGCCAGGGGUUUCUGGCAUCACAGAAUCUAGGAGAGUAUCUGGAAUGGACUUUUUUUUUUUCCCCAAGGUCAUUGCUUACUUUUAUUUAUUUAGUGAUUUUUAUUUUUUUCCAUUACAGUUGGUUUUCAGUGGUCUGUCAAUUCUCUACUAUACAGCAAAGUGACCCAGUCACACAUACAUAUAUACAUUUUUUAUCACAUUAUCUUCUAUCAUGUUCCAUCACAAGUGAGUAUAUAUAGUUCCUAGUGCUAUACAGCAGGAUCUCAUUGCUUAUCCAUUCCAAAGGCAAUAAUUUGCAUCUGGAAUGGACUUUCAGAGCUUCCAGAAGGAACCAAUCCUGCCAACACCCUGAUUUCAGACAUCUGGCCUCUAGAACUGUUGAGAACUGUUACUUCAAGCCACCCAAUUGUGGUCAUUUGUCACCUAGGCACCUCUAGUAAGUGAAUGAAAUGGAGCAGUAUAAAAAUACAAGGGAAGCCCAGCAGGGCCAUCGGGACCAGGAAGUCGGGGGUCCUCACCCCUCGCCAUCACGUGUGGGUACCCUCUGCUUCUCUUCCUGGCACCUCUCAGCUCCUCUAUCACUCUGCUCUUCCAGCUGCCACCAGCCCGCCACAUUGCCCCUCCAGAGGUCCUCCCUUUGCUUAAGGCUCUGCUGCUGAGCUGUCCUGUGUCUAUCAGUCUGGGGUCUUUCCAUGUCUGUUACAUAUGCUAACCUGCCAACUCUCUCAUUAUAUUAAAAAUGUCCAAGAGAGGUGAGCUGAUGGUUGAGCUCACCACCAUCACCCCCCAAAGGGCAAAGCUUUCACCCCAGGCCAGCUCACAGGCAGCAGACCUUGGCCCUGAUCCUCCAGGCAUGGCCAGGGAGGUGGGCCAGGCAUUCCCAUCAGCACAGGGGGCCCUGGAAGGGCAGGACAGAUGCCUGGAAACAGUCCCAGGUUGGUGGCCCCUUCACUGCUGAGACUAAACUUCCUGCAGAAUUGAAGAAUAGGCAGUAGGAAGGCGAAAGGGAAGAAGCACUUUUUUUUUUUUUUCCAAUAGAAGAAGGAAAGUGUCAUCAAUAGAAGCUGUUGAAAAGUCCAAAUUGCAACCUUCUUGCCUCCUUUUGAUGAGCUGCCUUGAUGAGCUGUUUAGAAGAGCUCAUUGCUCUGGGUCAGCGUGACAGCUGUUGAUGACAAGGGGUAGGCGGGGAGAGGUUAGGCAGGAGGAAUAUGCGGCCAGGGCCCUGGCCAUGAUGGAUAUGCACCAAGCCUGUGCACCCCAGGUCUUUGCAAAGGGUCCAUGACAAACAGCCCAUGGUGCAUUGGGCUGUUUUACUGUAAUUCACUCCCCAAAUGCUUCUGGUGUGCAGCCCUGUGCUGAAGACACUGCCCAGACAUCCUCUCAUUCACUUUCUCCCAAGCUCCAGAGAGUGGAUGUCAGGUUGAGCUUAUGUAGUUCAGGGAUUGCAGAUGUGAACACCCAAAGUCCCAGGACCAGUACGUGAUGGAGUCAGGAUUCAAACUUAGGUCAGAGGAGGCUAGAGACAUGGCUGAGCACAGUGUAUGGUCCUUGGGGGCAUGAAGGAGAGCUAUAAAGGAUGUUAUGAGGAAUCCAGAUCAGAUAAUAGUUUUCUAUGGAGGUUAAAUUUCCCGAGUUUAAUAACUAUACUAUGAAAAUGUAGGAGAAGUUUAAGACUAAUAGGAACAAUGUCCCCAGUGUACUCUUAAAUAGAUGAGGGAGGGGGUGUGUGGAGGGAGAGAGGGAGAGAAUGAGAAAGGGAGAAUAAUAAAGUGAAUGAGACAAAAUGUGGUGAACUAUGGGUUGAUUUGCAUCUCCUAGAAUUUUAUAUAAACGUUAUUAUGUUGAAUGUACUCCUUUUUGCUGGCUUCUCUUGUACAUAAUUUCUUUGAGAGCCAUCCAUGUUGUAGCAGGCAUCCAAAUUCAUUCCUUUUCAUAGCUAAGUAGUAUUUCAUCUAACGGAUAAACCAGUUUGUCUAUUCAUUCCCCUGCUGUUGGACACUGGUUGUUUUCAGUUUUGGGCAGUCAGGAAUCAAGCAGCCAUGAUUUGUGUCCCAGUUCUUUGGGUGGGCAUUGCUUUUGUUUCAACAGAAUGCCUAGAUCAUAUAUAUGGUAGGUGUGUGUUAACUGUUUAAGAAAUUGCCCAACUAUUUUCCAAAGCAGCUGUACCCCCCAGUAGUGCACGAGGCUUCCUGUUUCUCCACAUUCUUUCCUUGGUAUGGACUGACUUGGUAUUGCUGGUCUUUUCCAUUAGAGCCCUUCCAGUGGACCUGUAGUGAUGUCUCCUUGUGGUUUUCACUUGCAUUUUCCUAGUGACCAGUGGUGUUGCUCUUAUCCCCCUGCCAUUCCCUCUCCUGCUUUUCUGGGGGCACUGCGACCUUCUGGGGCAAGACCUCAGGGACUUGCCCCUACAGCCCAGAGGUGAACAGUCACGUCCCGAACAGAAAGCAUGCAAGUGGAUGGGCCCAGGAUGAAGACUGGAGGGCCACAUAAGAGCCUGGGGUGCUUUCAGGCCAAGGUAUUUGUCCCAUGGCUCUGACGAGCAGAACCCACCCUUCAGAUGGGGCACCCACCUGCUCAGCAGCCCAUGCUCGAGCUUUUCCACAGGCAGUCAGUACACAGGAUGCUUCAGGUCCUAACCCUCAGAUGUGAUGUGUUUGCUCAACAACCCUUAAGUUCCUCCCCUGUGUUCAGUUCUGUGACCAGUAUAAGCCUUUGAUGGGUUUUGGUUAUUGGCAAUUAUCAGAGUAAAGUGAAAACUCUCAAGGAUAAUCUGCAAGGCCUUUCUUGAUCAAGUUCCUAAAUUUGGUCUUUCCUACCACAUCCUUCCACAUCCCUCCAGCCUACGCUCCACAUCUAACAAACACCCCAGUGUCCCAGACUUGCCAGCUCCUUCCUGCCUCCCUGCCUUAACCUUCCCUCCUGCUUCUCCCUCCCUUGGCCAGUGGAGACCUUCUCAGCCUGUCACAGCACCAAGCGUCCCUUGUGCCUCUCCUCAACCUCAAAGGAUGGUUUUUUCAGGACCAGCAUGGUCUCAACUGGAUCCAUGUACAGUUUAUGCGGGUCACGGGGAGUGGGGAGGGGCCUGUGAGCCGAAAGGCUGGAUGCUGUUACACACCCACUGCAGCACACAGAGGUUCCUCGUCAGCUGGGCCCGGCUGAAUUGAGUGCAUUUCUGCACCAUGCCUUCCCCCCCUGAUCGUGGGGACUGGGAUGACUCCCCACCGCCACCACUCCCACAUGUGGCUCACAAGUCACUCCAAUUGCCGGAGGUGGCACCCGCCAUGUUCUGAAAAGCUAAGUGCCUUCGCCCCCUUCGCCACCCUUACCUGGAACAGCCAUUUUUGUUGUGUGAACACAUGGCCCGGGAACUUAAACACUAAAACCAGUUAGUUCCUCAGGGGGCGUCAUCUUAACCAUGCCAAACUCAACAAGAUAUAAACUGGUCCUAGAAGCCUUCUCUUCCUCCUUCCUUCAUUUUUUUUUUUUUUCUUUUUCUUGUUCCAGCAGCACUUAUCCAUCUGUGCUUCCACCACAGAGCUAUUCCCACUAGAAAUGCCGUGAAACCUUUCAAAUAAAAUAUUUAACGUGUGGAUCCAGUAA
rnacentral:lncRNA from 1 species